GAGGGAAUAGCUCAGUGGUAGAGCACAUGUUUAGCGUGCACGAGGUCCUGGGUUCAAUCCCCAGUACCUCCA
rnacentral:tRNA from 1 species